GGUACUUGGCCUGGAGGAUUAAAACCAUACAGAGAUGCACUGCUAAAGAGAGGCGAUUAACAUCUGGAGCACCAGGAGAUGGAUCAUCGGGUGAAGACCAGUGUGGUGGACCAACUGUCAGACGAGAGUUGCAGUUUGUUACAGAGAACGUGCUGAGUGAGGAUGAGUGCAAGGAAGCAAUCUCUCUGAUGAAACAUUCAGCUGAUGAAGACACAGUCAAGAAGAAGAUGAAGUUGACAUUUGUUUAUCGACACAACAUGGUCCUUGACCCCCUGCUGUCAAGCAACAUACUGUCUGUGUUUCCACGUUUCAAAGAUAUCAAAGGCUUGAUCGAACAGGAUUUUGUACUGAUGUUUGGUGAGGAUGUAUCAGGCAGGUUGCUGGAGAGGUGGCCAACAACAUUCAAAAGAUAGAUUAUCCAACAAGGCAGAAAGCUUCCUUCUACCAGUGACCUGGAAGAACUCUUGCUGGCAGCUGACUCUCCUGAGGAUGCCACUGAAGUUAAUGCUGACAUUGGCUGGGACAGUGACCUCUCAGCGAUUCUAUUGCUAUUACAUUUGAUUCCACCAUCUGGUCAGGGUCGGAAGAGACCAGGAAAGGUGUCAGCUUCUCAAGCAGAAAGGCAUCUUGUGGUCUUCAAGAAGACUGGAACAAAUAUCCAAGAGCACCUUGAUGCCAUCACUACCAGCACUCAACCCUACCUCCUGGCUGUUGGGGUGAAAAAGCAUGACAUCCACCAGUUCUUCAUUAUUCUUGACAAGAAUGCCAUACCAUGCAAGUCUACCUCUUCACUUGGUGC